AUGCUUUGGAUCUUAAAUCCCCUCCAAAGGCCAUUGUUUGACCUCCAACCUGCAGUGUUACCUAAGGGCGCAGGGGCAGCAUCUCAGAGGUGAGACUUGAGAGGAAGGACAUUGAGUCACUGAGGACUGCUGCUUCCUAUUGAUAAAAGCCCAGGCCAGAUAAAUUGAACAAAGUUAAUGAAUAGAAAAUGCUCUUGCACUGGGCAACAUUCCAGGCCAAAGACAAUCCAGAAGGCCCCUCCUCACUACAUGUCAAUUGAGCUCAGGCCCCUUGUGCUUGCUGACUAGAUGCUGUACUUCUGAGGGUAUCUGAGGGACAGAAGAUCCACUCCUGCAAUUCAAAGAAAGAUGAAAUUUUAAGACCUUAACCCAGAGCUGUUCCUGGUCUUCUCUCAAAGCCUCUGGUUCUGGGAAAGCCCUUGGUCUUGGGUAAAGAGACAAGAAAAGGGACUAACUAAGCUUAGUGAAGUAUAGACAUCUGGGAUGAGAUAGCAAAUCAAGUCUACCAGUGAGCCGAAACAGCCGCCGCAGAUGAGGGAAUGGGACGCUAACCUGGAGGAUUCCACAGGCUGCACUCAGAGGAAAAUGCAGAUACUAGAGCAGACGAUCACAUCGAGGUACCCGGUUAGGUCAAGAAGGAUGUGAGGCGAACCUUCAGAUGUGGCUGCAACCCAGCCACACCCAGCCUGGGUCUGCCCGGGCUCUGCUGUCCUUUCUGCAGGCAAUUUCAGUUCAGUGUUGCUUUACAGUAUUGAUUUGGGAUGGGCUAUUGGCCUUCACGAUUAUAGCUACAGAAAUGUAAUUUCUAGAUGAAACAUGGAAUAGAUCCAAGCAGAAAAUGUGAACACAAGAGUUUUCAGAGUAAAGUUAGGAAAGCAUUGUCACUAUCAAAGAGAAUGCUUUACUAAUCUCAAAUAGCAGAAUAUUCUGGCUUCAUAUGUCAUAUAUAUAUACACACACACACACAUACAUAUAUAUACACACACAUAUAUAUACAUAUAUUACACAUAUAUAAAUGUAUUUAAAUAUAUANAUAUAAUAUAUAUUGUUUUAAAACACAGAAAUAGUUGAGAAAUCACCCACCUAAUGUUGCAGUGCUCUUAUGUCUGCCUCCUAGGUUCUAGGAUGAUAGAAAUGGGCCACAAUUCCUGGCUUCCAACUCAUUUUUAAAAAGAGUAAGUGCAUCAUUGGUAAAUGGCAAAACUGAAAUAUAAAAGGAAAAGAAACUUAUGAUUCAUAACUAAAUAGCGAAACCCGGAAGUAUCCAGUAGCAAAUGAGCUGAAUGUCAAGCAUGUGAAUAGUCAUGGGAAGCAAGGCGUAUUCCUCUAGGGAAAGACAUCAUCAACGGUACUGAGAAAAAAAUGUGAAACUAUAAUGCCUUUAAAAACUUGGCGUAGCCUCAUUGCACGUGGUACUGGAUUUCACAAAGGCUCUCACACAUUCUCACACUUUCCCACGCAUUCUCCAUUCUCACACAUUCUCACGCAUUCUCACACAGGCAUAUGAUGAACUUUGGGUGUGUUCCUGUUUCAUGACUCCCCUUUCUGCUCUCCCUUCUCUUUAGUCCCUUUGAUUUCCUUACACAGUUUCAUUUCUACUUAAUGUCAUAUACGCAUAGCUGAUUUUAUGAAUCUAUAAAAAUAUAGGAAGCACAAGUCAGAGAACUCAUGUAAUAUUUGUCUAAGACUUGAGUAGCUCAAUAUAAUAAUCUCCCAAUGCGUCUAUUUUCCUACAAAUGGCAUAACUAUAUUCUUUAUGGCUGAAUAAAAUUGUAUUGCAUAAGUAUAUCUUAUUUUCUUAGCCUGUUCUUCCGUUAGCGAAUACCUAAACUAGCUCCAUAGUGUCUGCCAUGAGUGCUGUAAUAAAUAUUGCUGUACAAG
ensembl:antisense Gm15731 predicted gene 15731